GUGGCGUACGGCUCAGGAACACGUAGAUCGACUUACCCUGAGGACGGGGCAUAACCUCGGGAAACUGAGGAUAAACCACGAUAGGCUAUAAUACCUGGAAUGGGUUAUACCUGAAAUCUACAUGGCCUCAGGAUAGGACUGCGGCCGAUCAGGCUGUUGGCGGGGUAAUGGCCCACCAAACCUCAUAACCAGUACGGCCUCUGAGAGGAGGAGCCCGGAGAUGGGCACUGACACAAGGNANCAGGUGCUAUGGGUCGCAGCGGGAGAGCCCCCUUCUCAAUGGGCGAAAGCCGGACCAGGUUCAUCCGAGUGGCUUCUGCUAAAAGAGUG
rnacentral:rRNA from 1 species